AAAGACUUUCUUGAUUGAUGGCUGGCUGGUUGGAUAGAAGGCUGGGUUAAAUGAGUGACCAUCAUUUGUCAGAUGCUCUAGCGAAUAUCAAAGAUUUGCCCUUUGACCUCUGGAAACUUUGAUAUCAAGAUAAGUGCAGACACAAAAGAACUGUAUAGCUUCUCAAGCUUGACCCAAUCUCGAGCCUGCUCACUGUCCAUCUCGAAGCACAAUUCCUGGGAUCCAUCAAUGAUUUGUAUAUCAAUCAACCAGCUCAAUGUCUACCCAUCCCAAAGACUUUAAACAAAAGGAAAGGUGAAAGUUUGGAAUUGGAAGUGUACAGUACUUCCCAGAAGACAAUGGAAUGAACUAAGUCAAAGGUUCUACUUUGAGGGAGAAGAGAGAUGGCUGUAGCCAAAAUUUUCUGACGAUCAACCUUCAAAGUCACUUCACUUUAACGCCCCCCCCUCUCCAUUUCUAAAAUUCUCUGUUCCUUUGAAACCAGAUAAUAAAUGCA
rnacentral:lncRNA from 1 species